UACAGAGGUGGCAAGCGUUUGUUCGGAAUUACUGGGCGUAAAGGGCGCGUAGGCGGUCAGGUCAGUCCCGUGUGAAAUCCCUCGGCUCAACUGAGGAACUGCACGGGAAACUGCCUGGCUUGAGUUCGGGAGAGGGAAGCGGAAUUCCGGGUGUAGCGGUGAAAUGCGUAGAUAUCCGGAGGAACACCGGUGGCGAAGGCGGCUUCCUGGACCGACACUGACGCUGAGGCGCGAAAGCUAGGGGAGCAAACGGG
rnacentral:rRNA from 1 species